GGGUGCGAUCAUACCAGCACUAAUACACCAGAUCCCAUCAGAACUCCACAGUUAAGCAUACUUGGGUGAGAGUAGUACUAAGUUGGAUGACCACUUGAAAAAUCCUCGUGUUGCACCUC
rnacentral:rRNA from 2 species